rnacentral:rRNA from 1 species
UCCUACGGGAGGCAGCAGUGAGGAAUUUUCCGCAAUGGAGGCAACUCUGACGGAGCAACGCCGCGUGCAGGAGGACGCUUUUCGGAGUGUAAACUGCUUUUCUGUGGGACGAGGAUGGACGGUACCACAGGAAGAAGCCCCGGCUAACUCCGUGCCAGCAGCCGCGGUA